CAGUCGCCACGGUAAUACGAAGGGUGCAAGCGUUACUCGGAAUUACUGGGCGUAAAGCGUGUGUAGGUGGUUGUUUAAGUCUGUCGUGAAAGCCCUGGGCUCAACCUGGGAAUUGCGAUGGAUACUGGGCGACUAGAGUGCGGUAGAGGAUAGUGGAAUUUCCGGUGUAGCAGUGAAAUGCGUAGAGAUCGGAAGGAACAUCUGUGGCGAAGGCGACUAUCUGGGCCAACGCUGACACUGAGACACGAAAGCGUGGGGAGCAAACAGGAUUAGAUACCCGUGUAGUCCCUGUCUCUUAUAC
rnacentral:rRNA from 1 species